UACGUAGGGGGCAAGCGUUGUCCGGAAUCAUUGGGCGUAAAGCGCGCGUAGGCGGCCCUGUAAGUCCGUUGUGAAAGUCGAAGGCUCAACCUUCGAAAGCCGAUGGAUACUGCAGGGCUGGAGUCCGGAAGAGGCGAGUGGAAUUCCUGGUGUAGCGGUGGAAUGCGCAGAUAUCAGGAGGAACACCGGUGGCGAAGGCGGGGUCCUGGGCCAGUACUGACGCUGAGGGGCGAAAGCGUGGGGAGCAAACAGG
rnacentral:rRNA from 1 species